rnacentral:rRNA from 1 species
CCCUUAGAUGUUCUGGGCCGCACGCGCGCUACACUGAUGCAUUCAACGAGCCUAUCCUUGACCGACAGGUCCGGGUAAUCUUUGAAUCUGCAUCGUGACGGGGAUAGAUUAUUGCAAUUAUUAAACUUCAACGAGGAAUGCCUAGUAGGCGCAAGUCAUCAGCUUGCGUCGAUUACGUCCCUGCCCUUUGUACACACCGCCCGUCGCUCCUACCGAUUGGGUGUGCUGGUGAAAUGUUCGGAUCGGCCGUUUGUCGCGGUUUCCGCGUCAUGUGGCUGAGAAGUUCAUUAAACCCUCCCACCUAGAGGAAGGAGAAGUCGUAACA